GGAAGAUGUUAUUUAUUCUGACUCUACUUUGCUUCCUAUACAUAUAUUUUACCUACAACUGAAGCAAAGGUUCUCUUAUAAUACCUCUCCGGGCAUGUCAUUGGCAAUGUUAAAGAUUUGCUUCUAUUGUUUCUGAGACAUUACUAGAAGUGGUUCAUAAGUUUGCAAGGUUGGAAUAUGAAGCUAUGCUCGAAUUUUCUCGAGAAGGGAGCUCGGCUUCGGAGUCCGAGCAUGCAUGAGGAGCUGGCCGGCGGCGAUUCAGCAAGUAGGCUGGCCGGCAGACAGCGGAGCAGCGAGAAGCCUGGUGGGCAG